rnacentral:rRNA from 1 species
AAAUUGAAGAGUUUGAUCAUGGCUCAGAUUGAACGCUGGCGGCAGGCCUAACACAUGCAAGUCGAACGGUAACAGGAAGCAGCUUGCUGCUUCGCUGACGAGUGGCGGACGGGUGAGUAAUGUCUGGGAAACUGCCUGAUGGAGGGGGAUAACUACUGGAAACGGUGGCUAAUACCGCAUAACGUCGCAAGACCAAAGAGGGGGACCUUCGGGCCUCUUGCCAUCAGAUGUGCCCAGAUGGGAUUAGCUUGUUGGUGAGGUAACGGCUCACCAAGGCGACGAUCCCUAGCUGGUCUGAGAGGAUGACCAGCCACACUGGAACUGAGACACGGUCCAGACUCCUACGGGAGGCAGCAGUGGGGAAUAUUGCACAAUGGGCGCAAGCCUGAUGCAGCCAUGCCGCGUGUAUGAAGAAGGCCUUCGGGUUGUAAAGUACUUUCAGCGGGGAGGAAGGUGUUGUGGUUAAUAACCGCAGCAAUUG